AAAAUAUCUCAUUAAACUCAUCAAAGAACUUCUAACGUUGAAAGCUUCAAGGAGUAAGAUUUGCAAAAGAAGAAAAAUGCAGUUAGCACUUCAUGGCUACAUAUAUUUCUACAUACAAGUGCAAAAUGAUGAAAAACAUUGAGACCAUGAAAACACAAGAAGCAGCCACAAAAGCCUCAGCUCCUUCUACUUUCAGAAAUCCUGAGUUGAACUGAAUAUCUGCGGGAGACAGUUGAAGAUGAGUCACUCUGACCUCUGUACCUAAAAAUGUAGACAUUAAGUCCUUACCCAUGCAGAAUGUCCUUCCUGAAAUCUGAUAUAAUAAAAUUUAUCUUUAUUUUCUACUCUAUGG
ensembl:lincRNA